rnacentral:snoRNA from 9 species
AGGCAGCCUCUUUGCUGAUAUUAAAAUAGCUAAGAAGGUGUUUAACUUCUCGUAUAUCAAUGUCUUUUGCUCUUCAGAUUUGCUGAGUCUUAUCCUUGAAGCUGGUCUAGUAAGCUUAAGCACAUU